AGUGAACGCUGGCGGUAGGCCUAACACAUGCAAGUCGAACGGCAGCACAGUAAGAGCUUGCUCUUACGGGUGGCGAGUGGCGGAUGGGUGAGGAAUACAUCGGAAUCUACUUUUUCGUGGGGGAUAACGUAGGGAAACUUACGCUAAUACCGCAUACGACCUACGGGUGAAAGCAGGGGAUCUUCGGACCUUGCGCGACUGAAUGAGCCGAUGUCGGAUUAGCUAGUUGGCGGGGUAAAGGCCCACCAAGGCGACGAUCCGUAGCUGGUCUGAGAGGAUGAUCGGCCACACUGGAACUGAGACACGGUCCAGACUCCUACGGGAGGCAGCAGUGGGGAAUAUUGGACAAUGGGCGCAAGCCUGAUCCAGCCAUACCGCGUGGGUGAAGAAGGCCUUCGGGUUGUAAAGCCCUUUUGUUGGGAAAGAAAAGCAGCAGGUUAAUACCCCGCUGUUCUGACGGUACCCAAAGAAUAAGCACCGGCUAACUUCGUG
rnacentral:rRNA from 1 species